UACGGGGGGGGCAAGCGUUGUUCGGAAUUACUGGGCGUAAAGGGCUCGUAGGUGGCCAACUAAGUCAGACGUGAAAUCCCUCGGCUUAACCGGGGAACUGCGUCUGAUACUGGAUGGCUUGAGUUUGGGAGAGGGAUGCGGAAUUCCAGGUGUAGCGGUGAAAUGCGUAGAUAUCUGGAGGAACACCGGUGGCGAAGGCGGCAUCCUGGACCAACACUGACACUGAGGAACGAAAGCCAGGGGAGCGAAAGGG
rnacentral:rRNA from 1 species